UCUCCGUUGAUGAACCAGCGGAGGGAUCAUUACAGGACUCGCAAGACUCCUUCACCCUGUGAACCUCACUACAAGCACGUUGCUUCGGCGGGUGUCCCGGCGGGGGUUUUCCCUCGCCGGGGCGCACAGCCCGCCGGCAGCCUACUAUACUCUGUCUCUUUGCGUUGGCAUCUCGAGAAAAAACAAACAAGUUAAAACUUUCAACAACGGAUCUCUUGGUUCUG
rnacentral:misc_RNA from 1 species